GACGAACGCUGGCGGCGUGCCUAAUACAUGCAAGUCGAACGCAGUUGCGCACGGGUGAGUAACGCGUAGGUAACUGCCUCAUAGCGGGGGAUAACUAUUGGAAACGAUAGCUAAUACCGCCUACUGUGAGCUGGACCUGCUUUGUAUUAGCUAGUUGGUGAGGUAAAGGCUCACCAAGGCGACGAUACAUAGCCGACCUGAGAGGGUGAUCGGCCAAACUGGGACUGAGAAACGGGCCAGACUCCUACGGGGGGCAGCAGGAGGGAAUCUUCGGAAAUGGACGGAAGUCUGAACGAGAAACGGCGCGGGAGAGAAGAAGGUUUUCGGAUCGUAAAGCUCUGUUGUUAGAGAAGCGGUAACUAAAGAGAAAGGGACGGCUAACUACGUGCCAGCAGCCGCGGUAAUAC
rnacentral:rRNA from 1 species